CAGCCGCCGCGGGAAUACGAAGGGGGCUAGCGUUGUUCGGAUUUACUGGGCGUAAAGGGCGCGUAGGCGGACUGAUAAGUCAGGGGUGAAAUCCCAAGGCUCAACCUUGAACUGCCUUUGAUACUGUUUGUCUUGAGUUCGAGAGAGGUAAGUGGAACUGCGAGUGUAGAGGUGAAAUUCGUAGAUAUUCGCAAGAACACCAGUGGCGAAGGCGGCUUACUGGCUCGAAACUGACGCUGAGGCGCGAAAGCGUGGGGAGCAAACAGGAUUAGAUACCCCCGUAGUCCCUGUCUCUUAUACA
rnacentral:rRNA from 1 species